UGGGGAAUCUUGCGCAAUGGGCGAAAGCCUGACGCAGCCAUGCCGCGUGGAUGAUGAAGGUCUUAGGAUUGUAAAAUCCUUUCAGCGGGGACGAUAAUGACGGUACCCGCAGAAGAAGCCCCGGCUAACUUCGUGCCAGCAGCCGCGGUAAUACGAAGGGGGCUAGCGUUGCUCGGAUUUACUGGGCGUAAAGGGCGCGUAGGCGGACAGUUAAGUUGGGGGUGAAAGCCCGGGGCUCAACCUCGGAAUUGCCUUCAAUACUGGCUGUCUUGAGUGUGAGAGAGGUGUGUGGAACUCCGAGUGUAGAGGUGAAAUUCGUAGAUAUUCGGAAGAACACCAGUGGCGAAGGCGACACACUGGCUCACUACUGACGCUGAGGCGCGAAAGCGUGGGGAGCAAACAG
rnacentral:rRNA from 1 species